rnacentral:rRNA from 1 species
GAUGAACGCUGGCGGCGUGCCUAAUACAUGCAAGUCGCGCGAGAAAAGGCAGACACUUCGGUAGACGUCUGAGUAAAGCGGCGGACGGGUGAGUAACACGUAGGUGACCUACCCUGGAGAGGGGGACAACCGUUGGAAACGGCGGCUAAUACCCCAUGAGCUUCCGCGCGUCAGAGGGCGAGGGAGAAAAGGUUAAGGCGCUCCAGGAGGGGCCUGCGGCCCAUCAGCUAGUUGGCAGGGUAACGGCCUACCAAGGCGAAGACGGGUAGGGGGCCUGAGAGGGUGACCCCCCACACGGGAACUGAGACACGGUCCCGACUCCUACGGGAGGCAGCAGUAAGGAAUAUUGCACAAUGGGCGCAAGCCUGAUGCAGCAACGCCGCGUGCCCGAUGAAGGCCUUCGGGUUGUAAAGGGCUUUUCUGGCUGAAGAGGAAAGACAGUAGGCCAGGAAUAAGCGUCGGCUAACUACGUGCCAGCAGCCGCGGUAAAACGUAGGACGCGAGCGUUAUCCGGAUUUACUGGGCGUAAAGCGCGGGCAGGCGGCGGUCCAAGUCGGACGUGAAAGCUCCUGGCUCAACCGGGAGAGGCCGUUCGAAACUGGGU